AGAGCGCAGGGAGCUGGGGGGUCUCGCAAAGCCCCCUGAUUUAUUGCCCUUUGUGUGAAGGAGAUUUACGAGCUCAGACCUGGAGCGGAGACCUUGUCGGGAGGCGCGGAGAGCGGGUUUCCCAGAGGCAAGGGAGGCCGGUGGUCACCCGCGAUCUUCUCUGGCGCUGGAAUGCUCAAGACGGCCCCUCCCGCCUUCUCCAGGGCCUCUCUACAAGGGUCAUCUCUCCAGCAAGAUAGCUUGGACUUCCUUACAGCAUGGCUGCUGGGUUCCAAGAGGGGAAAAGGGGAAACUGCUGCUUCUCUUAAGGACUGAACUUGGUGGGAAGACCCGAAACACCACUGCUGCCAACUCUCUUGGUCAGAGCAAGUCUCAAAGCCAGCACAGAGGGAGGGAAAAUAGAUUCCAACUCUUGGCUGAUUGAAUGACGUGUGUCCAUGGAUUAGAGGAAUUAUUGGCAGCGGUAUUGGGAGACUGUCGACCAGGAGUGAUCAAGUAUCUAGUCCUGAAUAUAAAAAAGCCUUCCCUUGAUCUUGCUUUUCCCUAGAAAUCUUUCACUGACUCACUACCCACCCCCCACCCUGCCUCAUUUAGCAUCCCAUAAGAAUCUGGAUUUGCCGCUGUCUACUCUGCUGAAACUGCAUUCAUCAGUGACUUCCUACAUGGCUGACAUGAUGGCCAUCUUCAGUUCUCACCCGGCUUGCCCUGCCAGUGAGCUCUGAAGCAGCCAACAACCCCCGCCUUCCAGAAACAGUGCUCCCUGCUUCCUGGUAUGCACCUCUCUUCUGGGUCUCUUCCCACUCUUUUUCUGUCUUUUUGGUUAGGUCCUCUUCUUCCGUCAACCCCUUUAUUUCCAGGUCUUCCACAUCUUUAUUUCCAUCUGCAAGCUCUCUCCUGACGUGCAGAUCCGUGUUCCUCACUUCUGGAAUACUGUUCUGCAGACAUCUCCACCCACAUACACCUCGCUUCUCCCUGGCUUCCCCUCUUAGCGAAUGAACAAAAUCAUCGUUUACCUGGCUGUGCCAGCCGGGAACGCAGGAGCCAUCAUCCCACAUACUUCCCACCCUUGCCGUCCACUACCCUUCCAUAUACGCACAAUGUGAUGGUCCACCAAACUUGUUGCUUUUACCUCAUGAUUUGCUCUCUAGUCUGUCCCUUCCUCUUCAUCCUCACAGCCAUCGUCUCCUGGUAGAAGAGUCCCCAAACUGCUCUUACUGAUCUUUUUUGCCUCAGUCUAUCUAUGCCUCAUCUCUCCCUCCACCUGGCUACCCAAACACCAUUCCCAAACAAGUCUGGUCACUCCCCUCCCUGCCACCGUGGUGGUGCUGACCACAGCAUUUCACAAAGUUUGUUCUGUAGAUGUUAACAGGUGUUAACAACAACAACAAAAGUUCUCUUGACAAAUACAUUUGGAAAAUGA